rnacentral:lncRNA from 1 species
AGGGGAUUUAGAAUAAUUGGAGAUUGAUCAUUUGGUUCACUUCAAAGGGUGUCCAUAUCAUGAUAGCUUUAUAAAGGAAGCAAAGGAUUCAAAAUUGUCAAGCUCCCAAAUUCCAAAAAGCAAUCUCUCCAAAGCUCCUUGGAUUUCUCUAAGCCUCUCUGUAAGUUGUAUUGGUAAAAACGAAAUCUUUACUUCUCAAACAAGUGAUACUACU